UGAUUCCUAUCCCUCUGGUGGGUGGAGCUUUGUCUUUGGGUGAGAUUAGAGGCUCGGUGGUGUGCCUAGGGGUGUCCUUUUACUGAUGGGAGGGGCUGUGAUCUCGCUUGGAUUAUUGUUUGGCCUGAGGCUUCUCAGUGCUGAUAGGUAGGGCCAGAUUUUCCCAAAAUGGCCAUCUCUAGAGAAAGGCAGGCUGAUGAAUAUUCCUGAGAGCUUUGCCUCCAAAGUCCUUUCCCCACAACGAGCCACAGUCAUCCCCUGUUUUCCAGGGAGGUCCUCCAAGAACUGCAGUCAGGUCUGACCCAGAUUCCUAUGGAGCCUUUGCUUUGCCCUGGAACCCAGUGCACAUGAAAGUCUGUGUGCGCCUUUCAAGAAUGGGGUCUCCGUUUCCCCUGGUCCUGUGGAGCUCCUGUGCACAAGCCCCACUGGCCUUCAAGGCCAGAUGCUCCGGGGGUCUUUUCUCUCAGUGCCAGAUCCCUAUAUGGCGUGGGGAUUUGACAUGGGGCUCAGAACUCACUCCUGUAGGUGAGUCUCUGUGAUAGUUACUUUCCAGUCUGUGGGCUUCCCACCCAGAGGUAUUGGGUUGCUUAUAUUGUGUAAUUGCCCCUCCUACUCUUGAUGUGGCCUUCUCUUUGUCUUCUGGAGGAGGAUAUCUUUUUGAAAGUUUCUAGUCCAUUUGGUUGAAGGUUGCUCAGCAUUAGCUUGUAAUUUUGUUGUGUUUAUGAGAGAAGUUGAGCUCCCCUUCUAUUCCUCCAUCUUAAUCCCAUCUCUCUGUUGAAUAGUAAUGAAAGAACAGAAAAAUCUCUGACAUUUGGGAACUUUAAGGGAAAAAAAUUAUAAUUUUCUUAGAAUUCUUUUGAAUUAUUAGGGUAUGCUUUGCUGGUAUUAAAUGUGUAUAUUUAAAAUUGUGAAUUGAUUUUAAGUUUUAAGUAUUUUUAAAAUAUGUUUGGAAGAAAAAACAUUUUUCUACACAUUUCUGAUUUUUAUGAUGAGCCAUAUUGAGUAGUUUAAAUCUAAAAUAAAAAACGCCUUUAGGAGUGGCUUUGGGAUUUACAAUUUAGAAGAAGUAAUGGGGUUUUGUUUUUGUUUCUGUUUUUGUAAGAAAUGGAAUUAGUGUAACUGCUUCAUGACCUCUGAAGCUUAAAUUAGAAAGAAAUUCAAUGAAUUGUGUGGUAUAAACUUGACUAUUUUACUCCUUUAAAUAACUUAAAUUUCAGACUAGUGUAGUCAAAUUCUGCAUGUAAAUACUUGUAUCUGUUGUAUAAGUUUAAGUUCCUGAAGACACUGUAUAAGGUUAAAUUCCUAAAAACAUUGUUUAUAAAUCUGAUUAUAAUUUUAUAUAUAUAGUCUUACAUGCAUGCUUGUACAUGUAUGUAAUUGCACGCAGCAUUGUGGAAUGCUUUACUGGAGCACAUGAAAAAUUACAUAAUCUUCUAUAAGACUAUUUUAUGUAACAUAAGUGCACGAUUUCAUCAGCCUGAAGUGCAGAAGAAGGUCAUGAUUCUUUUUUAUUUUUAUUAAAAAAAAAUUUUUUUUUUUGUCUUUUUGCCUUUCC
rnacentral:lncRNA from 1 species